CUGCGGACGGCUCAGUAAAUCAGUUAUAAUCUGUUUGAUUGUAAAACCCAUUGGAUAACCGUGGGAAAUCUAGAGCUAAUACAUGUGAACAAUUGUGUGUGCAAACAUGCAAUGCAUUUAUUAGACAUCAACCAAUACUCAUUGUGUGGCAGUAGCAAUACUGUUGUGCAGUGUGUCAAGGUGAAUCUGGAUAACUUUGCUGAUCGUAUGGCCUUGUGCUGACGACGUUUCAAUUGAAUUUCUGCCCUAUCAACUAGUUGGUAAGGUAGUGGCUUACCAAGGUUGCAACGGGUAACGGGGAAUCAGGGUUCGAUUCCGGAGAGGGAGCCUGAGAAACGGCUACCACAUCCAAGGGAGGCAGCAGGCGCGCAAAUUACCCAAUCCAGACACUGGGAGGUGGUGACGAGAAAUACUGGAUCGUUUGUGACAAACAUGCGAUACCGGAAUGAACAUAAUUUAAGACUGUUGUCGAGAAACAAAUAGAGGGCAAGCCUGGUGCCAGCAGCCGCGGUAAUUCCAGCUCUAUUAGUGUCGUGUGACGUUGCUGCGGUUAAAACGCACGUAGUUGGAUUACGUUGUGUGAGCACGGUGCUUAAUGUGGAGUAGCGUUUAAAGCUUCAAAGUGAUUCUAUGUAUCGGAUAACGGAUGUAUAACUCAUGUUUGCAUUACGACCUUUGCAUUGGUUGCAAUGAGGUGUUGCUUUGCAUUGAAUCGAGCCGUCUCAUACUACAUGUGUCGUGAAUGUAACAUAUUGCCUUUACCGGUCGUGUGUUGUGUUUGCGGAGUGUGCCUUGAAUAAAUCAAAGUGCUUAAAGCAGGCGUAUUGCUUGAAUGUUAGUAGCAUGGAACGAACAAUUGUGAAUGCAUGAGUGCAGUGUGAUGCAUAGGUUAUGCUUAUGUGUGUGAUUGAGCUCAUGUAGCACCAACCGUUGAUAUGGAUGUUGGUUUCCGUAUUGAGGUGAGUAUUAAAACGAGCGGUUGGGGGCAUUAGUAUUUGUCCGCGAGAGGUGAAAUUCUUGGACCGGACAAGGACUGACAAAUGCGAAAGCAUCUGCCUAGACCGUUUCGAUUGAUCAAGUACGAAAGUGAGAGGUUCGAAGACGAUCAGAUACCGUCCUAGUUCUCACUGUAAACUAUGCCAACCCGGGAUCAGUUUUGAGCUAAGUGUUACCACUAUGCUCGUGGUUGGUCCCCCUGGGAAACCUUAAGUUUUUAGGUUCCGGGGGGAGUAUGGUUGCAAGGCUGAAACUUAAAGGAAUUGACGGAAGGGCACCACCAGGGGUGGAGCCUGCGGCUUAAUUUGACUCAACACGGGAAAACUCACCAGGUCAGGACAUCGAAAGGAUUGACAGAUUGAUAGCUCUUUCAUGAUACGGUGUGUGGUGGUGCAUGGCCGUUCUUAGUUCGUGGAGUGAUCUGUCAGGCUUAUCCCGGUAACGGACGAGACCAUUGUCUUCAUUUAGAGCGCCAAAGAAGGAGGAAUACUCUGAUGGCAAUGUUAGCUGUAGUUGAUGAAGAUGUUAAAGUUGGAUUUGACAUAUGGCUAGCAUUCCCUUUGGUUUGUGGAGCCUAAUGGCUUUAUGUUAUGAAGAGACAACCGUGUAUUACA
rnacentral:rRNA from 1 species